UUUUAUAAAUAAUAUAAUUUUAAAUUAUUUAUUAAUGAUUUUAUUAAAAUUAUUUUAUUUAUUUUAUUGGGGUGAUAAAAAAAUAAGAAAAACUUUUUUUAAAAUUUAAACAUAAAUAAAUGAUUAAAUGAUCCAAUUUUAUUGAUUAUAAGAAAAA
rnacentral:rRNA from 1 species